AAAAUGGCUCUGUCUAUCAAGUGAAUAACAAAGUGUAGACUGCCUGUCUGUUUCCUAUACAAAACUUAGAUUUCAUUUGCCAUUAUUGUCGGCCUUUCUGCUGAUUUAAUAACUUCUAAGGAGAAGAACUAGGGGUUCUGAUGCAGCCUCACUAUUUAAGAAACUACUUGGAAAGGGAAUUCUCAAGGGCUGAAAGAGCCUUCAGAUGGUCAGAUAAAGUACCUGAUGCUGAAAAACAGGAAAUUGAAUCAUGUCUCCAAAAUGUGCCUUUUGUCAUGCACUGUUACAGCUAUAUUUCUUGGAUGUGAAUCCUGCCAGAUUGUGGCAUGGCACUCAACUCCUCAAAGAAGCCAUUGAGUUCCAGUCAGGCACUGCGAGAAUUGCAGAAGAAAUCUCAAACUUGGCCCCUGCCUCCAAGAAGCUGACAAUGGGUAAGUCUACCCUUUUGCACUCUUGCCCAACAUUCUGUCGUGGAGACUUACAGGCUUACAGGCUGCAAGUAUCUAAUCAUCUUCCAUGCUUUCAUGUUUGUUGCCUUUAGCAUCACUUCCAUCUUCCCAAACCAAGUAUCCUCUUAGAAAACUCUGACAAACAGCCAGGCGUGGUGGCUCACGCCUGUAAUCCUAGCACUUUGGGAGGCUGAGGCAGGUGGAUUGCCUGAGCUCAGGAGUUCGAAACCAGUCUGGGCAACACGGUGAAACCCUGUCUCUACUAAAAAUACAAAAAAAUAAGCCAGGCAUGGUGGCGGGUGCCUGUAGUCCCAGCUACUCAGGAGGCUGAGGCAGGAGAAUUGCUUGAACCCGGGAGGCAGAGGUUGCAGUGAGCCGAGAUCGUGCCACUGCACUCCAGACUGGGUGACAGAGCGAGACUCCAUCUCCAGAAAAAAAGAAAAAAGAAAACUCUGACGAACUUAGACUGACAUUUCUUCUCUGUUGCAAGAAUCUUCAGAGAUCUGGAUUCUAAACACUGUCUCCUAAAUAUUUCCAGGAAAAACUUUUCUCCUUCUUUUACUGUGGAUGUACUCUACCAGAGAAGGUAGGUCCAAGCUGAUUCAGCCAUUACAACUUCAAUUCCAUGGAGCAGAUCAGUGGCUCAUGUCACUGAAGUUAAUUAUUAUUAUGUCUCUGGUCUGCAGAAAGAGCACCUCCAAAAUUUUCUUUUUUUAUGAAAGAGAAGUUGGCAUAAGUUUAGUCUUAAGGAUUGCAACCCAAUUAC
rnacentral:lncRNA from 1 species